rnacentral:rRNA from 1 species
GAUGAACGCUGGCGGCGUGCCUAAUACAUGCAAGUAGAACGAUGAAGGAGGAGCUUGCUCUUCUGGAUGAGUUGCGAACGGGUGAGUAACGCGUAGGUAACCUGCCUGGUAGCGGGGGAUAACUAUUGGAAACGCUAGCUAAUACCGCAUGACAACAGUUAUUGCAUGAUUACUGUUUAAAAGGGGCAACUUCUCCACUACCAGAUGUACCUGCGUUGUAUUAGCUAGUUGGUGAGGUAACGGCUCAUCAAGGCGAAGAUACAUAGCCGACCUGAGAGGGGGAACCGCCAAACUGGGAACGAGGAAACGCCCAAAAUCCUACGGGAGGCAGCAGGAGGGAAUCUUCGGCAAAGGACGGAAGGCUGAACGAGGAAAGGCGCGGGAGGGAAGGAGGGUUUCGGAACGGAAAGCUCCUGUGAAAGAGAAGAAAGAGUGGGAGAGUGGAAAGUGCACACUGUGACGGUAUCUAACCAGAAAGGGACGGCUAACUACGUG